GAAUUCGCCCUUAGAGUUUGAUCCUGGCUCAGGACGAACGCUGGCGGCGUGCUUAACACAUGCAAGUCGAACGAGGUUAAGCUGGAAGCUUGCUUUUGGCUUAAUCGAGUGGCGGACGGGUGAGUAACGCGUGAGCAACCUGUCUCAUACAGGGGGAUAACGCACCGAAAGGUGUGCUAAUACCGCAUAAGACCACGGGAGGACAUCCUUCUGAGGUAAAAGGAGCAAUUCGGUUUGGGGUGAGCUCGCGUCCGAUUAGAUAGUUGGUGAGGUAACGGCCCACCAAGUCAACGAUCGGUAGCCGACCUGAGAGGGUGAUCGGCCACAUUGGAACUGAGACACGGUCCAAACUCCUACGGGAGGCAGCAGUGGGGAAUAUUGGGCAAUGGGCGAAAGCCUGACCCAGCAACGCCGCGUGAGGGAAGAAGGUUCUCGGAUUGUAAACCUCUGUCCUUGGUGACGAAGGAAGUGACGGUAGCCAAGGAGGAAGCCCCGGCUAACUACGUGCCAGCAGCCGCGGUAAUACGUAGGGGGCAAGCGUUGUCCGGAAUGACUGGGCGUAAAGGGCGUGUAGGCGGCCGAUUAAGUCUGGAGUGAAAGUCCUGCUUUCAAGGUGGGAAUUGCUUUGGAGACUGGUUGGCUUGAGUGCGGAAGAGGUAAGUGGAAUUCCCAGUGUAGCGGUGAAAUGCGUAGAGAUUGGGAGGAACACCAGUGGCGAAGGCGACUUACUGGGCCGUAACUGACGCUGAGGCGCGAAAGCGUGGGGAGCGAACAGGAUUAGAUACCCUGGUAGUCCACGCUGUAAACGAUGAAUGAUAGGUGUAGGGGGGAUCGACCCC
rnacentral:rRNA from 1 species